rnacentral:rRNA from 1 species
GAGUCCGGGUGGAGUGAAACUCGAAGUUCCGUAGGGUGAACCUGCGGAGGGAUCAUUACCGAGUUUACAACUCCCAAACCCCUGUGAACAUACCAAUUGUUGCCUCGGCGGAUCAGCCCGCUCCCGGUAAAACGGGACGGCCCGCCAGAGGACCCCUAAACUCUGUUUCUAUAUGUAACUUCUGAGUAAAACCAUAAAUAAAUCAAAACUUUCAACAACGGAUCUCUUGGUUCUGGCAUCGAUGAAGAACGCAGCAAAAUGCGAUAAGUAAUGUGAAUUGCAGAAUUCAGUGAAUCAUCGAAUCUUUGAACGCACAUUGCGCCCGCCAGUAUUCUGGCGGGCAUGCCUGUUCGAGCGUCAUUUCAACCCUCAAGCCCCCGGGUUUGGUGUUGGGGAUCGGCGAGCCUCACGGCAAGCCGGCCCCGAAAUACAGUGGCGGUCUCGCUGCAGCUUCCAUUGCGUAGUAGUAAAACCCUCGCGUCUGGUACGCGGCGCGGCCAAGCCGUUAAACCCCCAACUUCUGAAUGUGACCUCGAUCAUGUACGUUCCGUGCC